GGUCCCUUAGCUCAACUGGUUAGAGCUUUGUACUUAUAGGGAUGCAACUGCCUUGACAUGCAAGGGUUCCGAGUUCGAUCCUCGGAGGGACCA
rfam:Trametes pubescens strain FBCC735 TRAPTBscaffold_1129, whole genome shotgun sequence.